AGCGGGGUAGAGGAGAUGGUUUCCUUGUGAGGCUCAUAACCUUAAGACAUGGGUUCGAUUCCCAUCCCCGCUA
rnacentral:tRNA from 1 species